rnacentral:rRNA from 1 species
CCUACGGGAGGCAGCAGUGGGGAAUUUUGGACAAUGGGCGCAAGCCUGAUCCAGCCAUGCCGCGUGCAGGAUGAAGGCCUUCGGGUUGUAAACUGCUUUUGUACGGAACGAAAAGGUCUUUUUUAAUAAAGAGGGCCCAUGACGGUACCGUAAGAAUAAGCACCGGCUAACUACGUGCCAGCAGCCGCGGUAAUACGUAGGGUGCAGGCGUUAAUCGGAAUUACUGGGCGUAAAGCGUGCGCAGGCGGUAAUGUAAGACAGAUGUGAAAUCCCCGGGCUCAACCUGGGAACUGCAUUUGUGACUGCAUUGCUGGAGUGCGGCAGAGGGGGAUGGAAUUCCGCGUGUAGCAGUGAAAUGCGUAGAUAUGCGGAGGAACACCGAUGGCGAAGGCAAUCCCCUGGGCCUGCACUGACGCUCAUGCACGAAAGCGUGGGGAGCAAACAGGAUUAGAUACCCUGGUAGUCCACGCCCUAAACGAUGUCAACUGGUUGUUGGGUCUUCAUUGACUCAGUAACGAAGCUAACGCGUGAAGUUGACCGCCUGGGGAGUCGGCCGCAAGGUUGAACUUAAGGAAUUGACGGNGNGAGAGUGCGACGACGACGACGAGGGAGGAGG